UUUCCGGUUGAUCCUGCCGGAGGUUACUGCUAUCGAGGUUCGACUAAGCCAUGCGAGUCGAAUGUAGCAAUACAUGGCGAACUGCUCAGUAACACGUGGACAACCUGCCCUUAGGUUGGGUAUAAACCCGGGAAACUGGGUAUAAUACCCGAUAGGUCUCGAUUGCUGGAAUGCAUCGAGAUUUAAAGCUCCGGCGCCUAAGGAUGGGUCUGCGGCCUAUCAGGUAGUAGUGGGUGUAGCGUACCUACUAGCCUACGACGGGUACGGGUUGUGAGAGCAAGAGCCCGGAGAUGGAUUCUGAGACACGAAUCCAGGCCCUACGGGGUGCAGCAGGCGCGAAAACUUUACAAUGCUGGCAACAGCGAUAAGGGAACCUCGAGUGCCAGGUUACAAAUCUGGCUGUCGAGAUGCCUAAAAAGCAUUUCAUAGCAAGGGCCGGGCAAGACCGGUGCCAGCCGCCGCGGUAACACCGGCGGCUCGAGUGGUAACCGUUAUUAUUGGGUCUAAAGGGUCUGUAGCCGGCCGGAUAAGUCUCUUGAGAAAUCUGGCAGCUUAACUGUCAGGCUUUCAGGAGAUACUGUCUGGCUCGAGGCCGGGAGAGGUGAGAGGUACUUCAGGGGUAGGGGUGAAAUCUUGUAAUCCUUGAAGGACCACCAGUGGCGAAGGCGUCUCACCAGAACGGACCUGACGGCAAGGGACGAAAGCUAGGGGCACGAACCGGAUUAGAUACCCGGGUAGUCCUAGCCGUAAACGAUACUCGCUAGGUGUCGGCCACGGUGCGACCGUUGUCGGUGCCGUAGGGAAGCCGUGAAGCGAGCCACCUGGGAAGUACGGCCGCAAGGCUGAAACUUAAAGGAAUUGGCGGGGGAGCACCACAACGGGUGGAGCUUGCGGUUUAAUUGGAUUCAACGCCGGA
rnacentral:rRNA from 1 species